GCAGUUCUUACUGCAACUUGAGCUACUGGAGCGUUACCUGAGCCAGUGAGUCAGCUGUCAACAAUAUUAGCUAAUCCUGUAGGUAGUGGUUCAGUUUAUCUCUUGCUGCAUUCUGUCCUGUCUCCUGUGAGAGUUUGACCAGUGGGUCCCACUCACUGGUUGUAACACUAGGCAAGUAUUAUACAAUGCUUUUCCCACCCUUACACCAUGCUUUUUUGAAAUAUUAAUGGGAUUAUGGUUUUUGUGAUAGGGUUCAAAUUUUUCAGGGUUUCCCUUCAAAAACAUAUGAUGCAUCAUGUUACACUGAAGGGUUUGAGGAGCAUUAUUAUUUACUUGGCUUUAGAAGCCUUUAUGGAACCAGCUAAAAGCUGAAUGACUAUAUAGUCCAUAUUGGAGAAUGAAAAUGUGACAGAAAUGCUGCUUCCUUAAAAUCUUUGCAUAUGGUGAGUUCAUUAUCCCCCACACAUUAACGGACAUAUGUGCCCCCACACAGUUGUGCUGAUAUUAUCAUUGAUAAGGAAUUUGCAUUAUCAAUCUGAAUGGAAUUCCAUGAUCCAUAUGAAAUGACGCCAUGCAAACAUUGUUGGAUUUAUUGGAUGUUUUUCAAAUAAUAUGUUGGAUAACAAUUUUUUUUUUCUAGUUUCUAUAUGAAAUACGCAUUUCUGUAGUUGCAUAUCUCAGACUCUACUUGAAAAUGUCCAGUGACGUGAGGCUGGACUGACUCCAAACUUCAGGAUACAGUUCCAGCCACUGACUCACAGAGGAGAUCAGUCUGGUGCCUCCCUCUCCUCCUCACUGUUCUAUGUCUGUCUGUAAACAACUGCGUGCAGCAGGAGAUUCCCCCUCUGCUUGUUCCAAAAAUCUAGUGAUUAUCCUAUGGAGGACUAAAGGCAAAGCACAUAAUGGAUCAGUUAUAUCAGUUACUGGAUCAGCUAUACUUAGCAGUUAAGGGUGGCAACAUGAAAUUACGUCUCCAGCAGUGGAAGCCAAAAUAUGGACUGUAAAAGCUUUCUUAGAAGAUUUUCCAAUGUAAGCAGUUCCAUAACCAAAGCUGUUAAAGAGUUUCUCAUUUGCAAAUAGUGGAAAGUAAUAAACACAUGUUAAAAAGUUGUCCCUUGCGAGAUCCGUCAUUGAAAUAACACAGUAAGGGGUGUGUGCCCCUAAUCCAGUGAGACAUCUCACUCCGCACAUUGUCAGUAAUAUGCCAGCACUAGUUCUGGGUGUAUGUGGUUCGCGAAAUGUUUGUCUUGUCUCCUGCCCUUCCAUCACUGGCAGCAGUUACAGACCCACAUGAUUCUGCUGCACGUCUGUAAGAGAUAUGGAUGCAACGUCUGAGAUUACAUAGCAGACGACACCUUUUUAGGUAGUAUGGCCUCACUGUUU